ensembl:lncRNA
AUGUUAAAAUUCAUUAUAAAACAUUAUGCAUUCCUUUAUUCAAGGGUAGAUGUGACAUACUCGCCUGAAGCAAGUGCAUCCUUAACCCUGAUGUAUAAUGACUUCAUUUUUAUUGUUUCUUUUGGAACAGACUCCAGUGUUAAGCAGGGGACCUGGACCUGGACCUGGAUCAGCGCUAUUCACAGUUCAGUGGUGCUGCAGAUAAUGAUAAUGAGGGCAGAUCUAAUUGCAGUAAGGCUGAUGUCUGUGAUCUUUUCUGCCCUGAGUUCAUCUGCCCUCUUCAGCGAGAACAAGAGAGGCUGGAAGUCACCCGCAGGAUUCCUUCUUUCAACACACCAUCAAACCGAGCAGCUCGAUAUCAAGCCUAUGCAGAAACCAAAUACAGCCUUGGGACCCAAAUUAAGGUAACUAAGAGAAAUAUUAUCAUCAAAACACAUCAGGAGUUUGGCUGCAAUUAGCAGAGCGUUGCAUGUCGAGAAGCCCUGGAUGUGUGAGUUGCAUUCCGUCCUUCAGUUCUUCCUCUGCUGUUAAAAAUCCCUUUGAAGAGGACCUUUCCCUGUUGACCCGUUCACUAGACUAAUGAGGGUAAUUUUGUAGCCUUGACAUCCCCAAACCCACCACUUCCAUCAUCCUCUGCUCCCACACAGUCCCACCUCCUACUGUUUAAUUGGCCAAGAUCUGGUUCCAGCAGCUUUUAUGUUAUCUGCACGUGUCUUGUAUCUGUUGUUCCUCUACCAAGCCCUGAUGUUUAAAACAUGACGUAUCAAUGCUGGCACUUGGUGAUUCAUAAUUGUACCGUUUUUCUGCUCUUAAAAAUGGACCACAGCUCUUCAUAUUCAUGCGACUGGAGAGUAUUUUCUUCUCUGAAAAGGAUAAGCACUGGAUUGUAGAGUGCUCUUGCACUGAAGUAAGUUUUCUGAGGGUCUUGUGUGAAGUAGCCCAAAUAUGCCUCAAAAUGUUACUUAUUACACAACCUCAAGAGAUCCGGUACAAAUCAAAGAAAGAAGAUACACUGACAAGGUCACCUCUCUGUAAUUUUGCAAAUGCUGCGGUAUUUGGCUUUAUCUGAGAGAACAGAAACAGCUUUUUAUUUCGGAUAUGGGACAAUAUGAUGAAGUAGAUUUUGCUAGAAUAUGACAAUAUGCAAAAAGUUGAUAUUUAUUCAUCAGGGCUGGAUUAUUUUAUUUAGAUUCAUUACAAUAUAUAUUCUGAUCAGUUAAUCGCAUUAAAGGAAUAGUUCACCCUCAGGCCAUUCAAGAUGUAAAUGAGUUUGUUUAUCCAUUUGAACAGAUUUGGAGAAAUUUUGCAUCACAUCACUUGUUCACCAAUGGAUUCUCUGCAGUGAAUGGGUGCAGUCAAAAUAAGAGUUCAAAAACUUAUACAAAAGUAAUGUAACAAACCCACAAAUCAUCUCGUCUAAAUCAGGAGAUAAAUAUGUACAUAUCAAGCACUGUUUACAAGUGAAAACAGUCAAAAAUGGUUCUAAACAAAUAUGUUGAUGGAUUUUGAUGUGAGAGGAGAACGGGUGACUCUUAUUAUGUAAUAUGAACUAUUUUCAUCAGGAGCAAUGGUUUAAAGUUGAUGAAGGAUUUGUUUCUUACAAAC